rnacentral:rRNA from 1 species
GAGUGAGGGCCCUCUGGGUCCAACCUCCCACCCGGGUUUAUUUUACUUUGUUGCUUCGGCGGGCCCGCCUUAACUGGCCGCCGGGGGGCUUACGCCCCCGGGCCCGCGCCCGCCGAAGACACCCUCGAACUCUGUCUGAAGAUUGUAGUCUUGAGUGAAAAUAUAAAUUAUUUAAAACUUUCAACAACGGAUCUCUUGGUUCCGGCAUCGAUGAAGAACGCAGCGAAAUGCGAUACGUAAUGUGAAUUGCAAAUUUCAGUGAAUCAUCGAGUCUUUGAACGCACAUUGCGCCCCCUGGUAUUCCGGGGGGCAUGCCUGUCCGAGCGUCAUUGCUGCCCUCAAGCACGGCUUGUGUGUUGGGCCCCGUCCUCCGAUCCCGGGGGACGGGCCCGAAAGGCAGCGGCGGCACCGCGUCCGGUCCUCGAGCGUAUGGGGCUUUGUCACCCGCUCUGUAGGCCCGGCCGGCGCUUGCCGAUCAACCCAAAUUUUUAUCCAGGU